CGCAACGCUCUCGUCGCCCUCUUCUCUCCCUUCUUCGUCCCUCUUCUCUCGCGUGAAAGUCUUCUUUCCGUCUUCUUCCAGGCCAGGCCAAACGGGUUUUGAUUUGUUAGGGAAUGGUUUCCUUCCAAGUCUCCAACAAUCCAAGCAGAUUUAAUGUUUGGGUGAAUGGCUAAGAGAACGAUGGCAUCAACAAUGACAGUUUACAAAUUUGAAUUUAUAAUUUUAACCUUGAUAUAUUGUUCAAAUUCUAUGGAAGAAGCCUGCAUUGUGCGAUGUCAAUUUGAAUGAUCUUCCUUCUUCCUACACAAGAUAUGUUAUCCUGAAUUUUAUAUUUCUAAAUGUUUAUUUUGUGUUUAGCGAUAUUGAGAAAAGCAAUUUUUUCCUACUUUGAUACUGGUUUUUAUUUACAUAAAUUUGGUUCCAUGAUUGAAUCACGCAAUUACAAAGUUGAUGUUCCUUUUAUUUACACUAUAUGCCCUCCACAUAAACAUGCAAUUUCGAUAAAUUCUACUAACUGUAAGUAAAUCUAUCUCUAGCAUUUGCUUAUUAAAAAAAGUGUCUAGCAUUUAAUCAUACCGUAGAAUGUAGAUAGCCUUCGUGCCCAAAUAAAUGAGCAAUGACAUCUGCAUUUCCAGUUGAUGUUCGUUUAACAAUAUUUUGUUUAAGUCUUUCUCCAUUUCUAGCGUAAAAGGACCUAUCUUCUCUCUCUCUCUCUCUCUCUCUCUUCUUCUUCUUUUUUUUUUUUUUUUCGCUUGCUUGAUUAUAGACAGUAUCAUUUAUUUCAUAGGGAUGAGUUUUUAGACUUCUUAAUCGUUACCCUUACAAGCUACACUUUAUCAUCACAACAGAGUAAAAUGUACAUUGUGAUGCUUAUCUUUUUGUGUUGAUUCCCUACUUGUUGUAAUUUAUGGGUGGUGGAGAGAAGCUGUUAUGUUCUAACCUUUGUAAAAAAAUCUUGAAAACAUAGUCCCCUUUGUUUUUUGGCUUAAGUAUGAACCACACAAAGUCUUUUCUGAGACUAUAGAUAUAAUCUUCAUUGUUUUGUGGAACGUGUAUUGUGACAUUCAGUUGACCCAUGUUUGCAUUGUUAUAGAAGCUAUAAAAGCUGUUAUAUGUUUGUUUGUGCAAUUUCAGUUGACCCAUGUCUGCAUUCAUGCUCAUUUUGGUGUGAAUUUUAAUUGAUUUUUGAGAUAUUGGGUUUAUAGGUUGUGGUUGUUGGUGCGAAAGUUGCUGAAAGCUGCUAAAAUACUAUCUGUCUGGCUCUGGUGCCGACUGUUUGAAAUAUAUUGAGAAAAGUAAGAGUGGAAAAUGCAGCUAGAACUUUGUCCUUUUCCAAGGAAGUGUGUCAUCAUGUGGAUCAUUAUGAAAGAGAGACUGCAAUACCUACAAAUGGGGUUGUUAAUCCAUGUUUCAAUGGUGUAAGUGUUUAGUUAUCCUUCAUGAUGCCUUGUCUGGAUCAGUCUAUGAUGUAAUUUUACAAUAUCUCAAUAUAAUGCUCCUACAAUCGGUGGUUAUCAAUGGAAGUAAAGAGAUUGUUGGCUAAGGUAUAUGUUGACAUUGUCUUACUACACAAUUAGCUGAGAUUGUUGUGAAAAAACUUCAA